CCAAACUUGGUCAUUUAGAGGAAGUAAAAGUCGUAACAAGGUUUCCGUAGGUGAACCUGCGGAAGGAUCAUUACCGAGUACCGGGGCCCUCUGGGUCCCUACUCCCACCCUAUGUGUACCUGAUACCGUUGCCUCGGCGGGCCGAGGGCCCACCCUCGCCGGCCCCGCGGCUGGAGAGCGCCCGCCGGAGGUCUAUUUAAAACUCUCGUUCGAACCUGUAGUCUGAGUACUCUGUAAAGAAACUAAAACUUUCAACAACGGAUCUCUUGGUUCUGGCAUCGAUGAAGAACGCAGC
rnacentral:misc_RNA from 1 species